rnacentral:rRNA from 1 species
CCCUUAGAUGUUCUGGGCGGCCCGCGCACUACAAUGGCGCUUUCAGCGAGUUCCUAUGUUGAAUUUUCCUUGGUAUUCUUGGAAGCGGCGUCUUGACUUGGGAUAGAUCCUUGUAAUUGUUGGUUUUGAACGAGGAAUUCCUUGUAAUCGCGGUUGAUCAGCUCGCGUUGAAUACGUCCCUGCCCUUUGUACACACCGCCCGUCGCUCCUACCGAUGGAUCGUCCGGUGAAGUUCACAGAGUGGCGGUUCGUGGAGUUGCUCGCGAAGUGAAAUGGACCUCACGAUUUAGAGGAAGGAGAAGUCGUAACA